UAACAGCCAGCAUCUGUUGCAGAAGACUUUCCUGUCAGCUGAUCUGAACCACAGCUCUUGUAAACAUUCCAGGAUCCUAAUCCUGAGGAAGUCCCACCCCCGUCAAUUAAUGUUAAAGUUCACUUCUGCAUGACUUCUCAACCCAUGAAAAGCUGGUGAUGAAAAAGAAAUAGAAUUUUUUGUGUGCUACCUUGGCACAUAAAGUGCCCCUUCUAGUGCUGAACAAGCGAAUGCAGAAGCAUGUCUUGGACCAGAGCCUAUCCUGCUGUAGCUGAUUGCCACCAUGGGUGCUGACAAAGGAGAUGCCUUGCAUCAAAAGCGAAGAGAAGG